rnacentral:rRNA from 1 species
UGGCGGACGGGUGAGUAAUGUCUGGGUAACUGCCUGAUGGAGGGGGAUAACUACUGGAAACGGUAGCUAAUACCGCAUAACGUCGCAAGACCAAAGAGGGGGACCUUCGGGCCUCUUGCCAUCGGAUGUGCCCAGAUGGGAUUAGCUAGUAGGUGGGGUAACGGCUCACCUAGGCGACGAUCCCUAGCUGGUCUGAGAGGAUGACCAGCCACACUGGAACUGAGACACGGUCCAG